ACCUGACUCAAACUCAGUGCUUGACAUUCACUCACUGGCUAACUCUACCAACUGAGCCAUUCCUUCGACCUCUAAUGUUGGACCUUUUCAUGGCAUAGAUGCAAUAGUUGUUUGCAAAUGCUUCCAUUAUUUAUUGCUCACUUGUAGAUAUAUCAGAGGCAGCGAAGAUGGUAAACCUUGCUGACCCUUCUUGCUUAGGGAAGAAGUUGUCUUGAUGGAAGAAAGGUUCCCCAGCAAAGUGGUGAGGGGUGUUUUGAGCUUUCCUUCUGGAUACUGCCAUAGUAAAUGCUAACCCUUCAAAAACAAUAAGUCUUUUCAGAAUUCCUUCUUUUUACUUCCCCAUGUUACAUUUUCUCUUCGAACAUAUUGACUUUUCAGUAUCUUUUGGCAAUUCAGUCCAACUUUCCAUUUUCUAGAUGACCCUUCUUAACAUUUAUAGCAUGAAGUUGAACUUCUGUUUGGUUUCAGGGUAGAUAGCAUGUACUUUGUUGUUUUAUAUCUGAUAUCUUUUAAUCUCACCCCAAUUUUUUUUAGGAAAUCAAGUCUGUGAGCCUGCAGUUACAACAUCAACUUUAUUGAAAUCUCUCAGGCUUCAUUUAUUUUUACAUCAGGGAAAAAAUAGCAUAAAAAAACUACAGAAAAUGGGAAAAAGAUGGAUUGUGUAUUUUUCUGUAUAACAGAUUAAAAGGAAAAAUAGAUUAUAUUCCUAUGAAAGACUGUAUACCUGUGUGAGUGAAGGAUUCUGCUGAUCAUCCCACCAAGAUCCUGAUAGGACAUGAAGGGGAAUGACAGUCUUCCAAUUUUCUCUUUGGUCAAAGCUGAUUAAACUGUAGGUUUUUUUAAGAGCCAUAUAAAGCUUAACUCUUAGGACUUUGGCUGAUGUCAGAGGUCCAGAAAGUAGUAAAUUAAUGUCCCAUUCCAUAAACAAAUACUUAAUACUUAUUUGCACAUGCCUGAAGGGUUCAUCAAACACUAAGGAAUCCCAAAGGGGCCAUUGUUAAAAUUGUGUGAAUACCGGAUGUAGAAUCAACUGGUUACUAUGUGUCUCAGGAGUGAACAAGACUGUAGGACAUGUCCUGGUACAGCUGAGCAUAGGAUGGAGAGCAGACCAAAAUAAGAUAGGCCAGGAGCCUUUUCUCAGGCAGAACAGAGGA